rnacentral:rRNA from 1 species
ACGAACGCUGGCGGCGUGCUUAACACAUGCAAGUCGAACGGAAAGGCCCUGCUUGCAGGGUACUCGAGUGGCGAACGGGUGAGUAACACGUGGGUGAUCUGCCCUGCACUUCGGGAUAAGCCUGGGAAACUGGGUCUAAUACCGGAUAUGACCUUCCAUGUAGUGUGGGGGGUGGAAAGAUUUAUCGGUGUGGGAUGAGCCCGCGGCCUAUCAGCUUGUUGGUGGGGUAAUGGCCUACCAAGGCGUCGACGGGUAGCCGGCCUGAGAGGGUGGACGGCCACAUUGGGACUGAGAUACGGCCCAGACUCCUACGGGAGGCAGCAGUGGGGAAUAUUGCACAAUGGGCGGAAGCCUUAUGCAGCGACGCCGCGUGGGGGAUGACGGCCUUCGGGUUGUAAACCUCUUUCGACAGGGACGAAGCUUCGGUGACGGUACCUGUAGAAGAAGCACCGGCUAACUACGUG